rnacentral:rRNA from 1 species
UACGUAGGUGGCAAGCGUUGUCCGGAUUUACUGGGCGUAAAGAGCGCGCAGGCGGUCGUUCAAGUCGCGUGUGAAAGCCCCGGCUCAACUGGGGAGGUCACGCGAUACUGAUCGACUCGAAGGCAGGAGAGGGUAGUGGAAUUCCCGGUGUAGUGGUGAAAUGCGUAGAUAUCGGAGGAACACCAGUGGCGAAGGCGACUACCUGCCUGUUCUUGACGCUGAGGCGCGAAAGCCAGGGAGCAACGGG